CUAGUCCUACCCUUGAAUAUCAUGUGUUACAUUAAGUUCACCUUUUGUUCUUCUAAGCUUCCAGCUGCCUCUCAUGAUGGGGUAAUCCUUUCAUUCCAAGAGUUAGCAUGGGGGAAAUUCUUUUGGACUGUCUCUUUGACUAUGGUAUCCUUUUGCAGGUUUUGGUGGAAGCUGUCUCCAAAGGAUGAUGUCUCAGAAAGGGCUUUCUGUCAUGACGAGACAAAAGUAUUGGGCUCACUUGGGAUUUAUAUUCCUCGGGAUGUCAACUCCUGGAGUGAUCAGGUUUAGUUCUGUUUCAGUGUGCUGAUGGUGUAAUUGAAUAAAUGUAAUGUACAGAUUUUUAAUACUAAUAUUUAGUAUACUUAGUAAUAUCACUAACUAAGGAUUUUGAAAUGCACGUGUUUGAAGUUCUUGAUUAACCAACAAUGAUUCUCUGUAGCUUGAUGGUUUUCUCAAUGUUAAUUUGCUUGCAGACUCAGUGGUGCAUGGACUAUUUACUGGGGGCUAUUGAUGAUAAUCUGAGUUACUGACUAAUGAUGAGGAUUCUCUUUGGCAGAGGUGGCAUGCAUCAUGUCUGUGCCUUUGAAGGAACACAGCCCUUUCAGACAUUCAAGUCAUGUCUCUUUCCAUGAUGGAGGAUGUUACUGAAGUUCUGCGUUUAUGGAUUGGACUAUAGACUUCUUCAGUCUUGGGUUUUAAUAUUCUAUAUUGUCGCCCAUUCUUUCUUGUUUUUUUUGUACGAGGAGGGGAGUUUGGGGUCAAUGAUCGUGUUGCUGUUUAUUUUGUAUGGUGGAGGUGUGGGUUUGCUGGUUCUCCUUGAACUUCCAUGGUCUUCUUUGUUUCAUGGCUAUAUGGAGAAGAAGAAUCUGAGUUGUAUAUUGCACAUAUACUGUAUUAAUAAUUUAACCUUUAAACCAU